rfam:Dipodomys ordii contig_21627, whole genome shotgun sequence.
GGGAAGGUGGCUCAGUGGUAGAGUGCUUGCCUCUCAUGCAUGAGGCUCUAGGUUCGAUUCCUCAGUACCA